CUGUACCCUCCUUGCCGCCAGUGGGAAGGCAGGGCCCGGCGAUGGAGGGAGGCGAGUCGGCCAAGGUCACCGAGCCCUGCCUUCUUGGUAGCAGUGGGGAGGCGACGA
rnacentral:pre_miRNA from 1 species